rnacentral:rRNA from 1 species
CAGAGGUGGCAAGCGUUGUUCGGAAUUACUGGGCGUAAAGGGCGCGUAGGCGGGUCUUUAAGUCAGGGGUGAAAUCCUGGAGCUCAACUCCAGAACUGCCUUUGAUACUGAGGAUCUUGAGUUCGGGAGAGGUGAGUGGAACUGCGAGUGUAGAGGUGAAAUUCGUAGAUAUUAGGAAGAACACCAGUGGCGAAGGCGGCUCACUGGCCCGGUACUGACGCUGAGGCGCGAAAGCGUGGGGAGCAAACAGG